GACGAACCGUGCGAACGUUGUUCGGAAUCACUGGGCUUAAAGGGCGCGUAGGCGGCUCCGCAAGUCGGGGGUGAAAUCUUUCGGCUUAACCGGAAAAGUGCCUCUGAUACUGCGGAGCUCGAGGGAGGUAGGGGCGGACGGAACUUCCGGUGGAGCGGUGAAAUGCGUUGAUAUCGGAAGGAACGCCGGUGGCGAAAGCGGUCCGCUGGCCCUCUACUGACGCUGAGGUGCGAAAGCGUGGGGAGCAAACAGG
rnacentral:rRNA from 1 species